AACUCCUGGAAAUGACAAAAUGUCUAUUAAAUGAAUUUGGAAAUGAAGAAUUGGUUUUCCAUGGAGACUUAGAAACAGAUCACCUGGAAAUGAAUAUUACGAAGCUAAAACAUAAGUUUGAUGAUCUUACAGAAGAGCUGGGAGCUGUAUCUUCAAAAUGUCUAUAUUUGGCUAAAAACAAUCAAGUUAUUCAACAGGAGUUAAUCUCUAUGAAAGAUGUACAACAGAAAUAUGAAAAAUUGGAGGAG